AGUGGAAUUGCUGAGUUAUAUGGUAAUCCUAUAUCUAACUUUUUGAGGAACUGCCAGACUGUUUGCCAAAGUGGCUGUACGUUUUACAUUCCCAUCAGCAAU
rnacentral:pre_miRNA from 1 species